rnacentral:rRNA from 1 species
UACGUAGGGUCCGAGCGUUAAUCGGAAUUACUGGGCGUAAAGCGUGCGCAGGCGGUUUUGUAAGACAGAUGUGAAAUCCCCGGGCUUAACCUGGGAACUGCAUUUGUGACUGCAUGGCUGGAGUGCGGCAGAGGGGGAUGGAAUUCCGCGUGUAGCAGUGAAAUGCGUAGAUAUGCGGAGGAACACCGAUGGCGAAGGCAAUCCCCUGGGCCUGCACUGACGCUCAUGCACGAAAGCGUGGGGAGCAAACAGG